UACGUAGGGUGCAAGCGUUGUCCGGAUUUAUUGGGUCGUAAAGAGCUCGUAGGCGGUCCGUCGCGUCGGCUGUGCAAACCCGGGGCUCAACCCCGGGCCUGCAGUCGAUACGGGCGGACUAGAGUUCGGUAGGGGAGACUGGAAGUUCCUGGUGGUAGCGGUGAAAUGACGCAGAGUAUACAGGAGGAACACCGGUGGCGAAGGCGGGUCUCUGGGCCGAAACUGACGCUGAGGAGCGAAAGCGUGGGGAGCAAACAGG
rnacentral:rRNA from 1 species